CCAUAAAGUCCUUUGUCUUCUACCAGGUACUGUCGGAAAACCAUUUCUGGCUGCUCUCGCUGCUUUACUAUUGUCAGCUAGGAAAAAUAACAAGGAAGUCAGAGAUGAUGGUCUGAUGAUCUGAUUGAGCUAUGAGUGGAGUUAAUGGAGCCACACAUGCAAAACAAUGUCCCCCUGCCUGCUUCCUGUAUAAUUUGGAGGAGCCAUGGUAUCCCCUCACUUCCUCUCACCAGGUGAAACCACCAGAAAGGUCUGCAGUUACCAGCUGCAGCAAGGAAGGGGAAAAUGGCCCAUAAUAUCCUGAAUGUUGUAAAGGCCUGCGUCUAGGUGAAUGUCUUACACUUCUGCAGGGAAUAGCACCAUAAUAAACCACCAUCAUCUGUACAUUUCAAAUUCUAGGAGACUUUAAUAUUGAAUCUUCUCAAUAUUAACUUGAGAAGGAAGAUGGGUGAGUAGCUGGGACUUGGUAAUAAGGCAUAAUUUUCCUGAAUUAUAGAUAUUUUAUAUUCUUUUACCCAAACUUGAGGCCUUGAAGGGCUUAGAAGGGCUAGGAUAACAAAACUCAGAGAUCACAAUUCUGAAGUUAUAAAAAAAAUUUAAAAAAUGUUCUGAAUGAUACUUCUGUAAUUAAGUAGUUUUAAGCACUGAAGCAGUCAUUCCACAGUCUGUUAAUGAAAUCAGUUGCUAUUAAGCCAUGAAGAUCUGCAUGAUUACUAAGUUAGUACUUACUAAAGUAACCCAUGGUUAACCUGUGGUGAUAUCUAUUUUUUUUUAUGUUUGUAUCUGUUAAGUGGGUAGAUUUUUAAGGUCAGUGUGAGUUUUCUAUCAAAGAUCAUGUUAUAAAAAUAUAGGACAUGCAUUUUAAAAGUCUGUAAUGAAAUUAAAAAAAAAAAAACUUGAAUAGCCAAAUUAUGGAAAGAGC